GAUGAACGCUGGCGGCGUGCCUAAUACAUGCAAGUCGAGCGAACAGACGAGGAGCUUGCUCCUCUGACGUUAGCGGCGGACGGGUGAGUAACACGUGGAUAACCUACCUAUAAGACUGGGAUAACUUCGGGAAACCGGAGCUAAUACCGGAUAAUAUAUUGAACCGCAUGGUUCAAUAGUGAAAGACGGUUUUGCUGUAACUUAUAGAUGGAUCCGCGCCGCAUUAGCUAGUUGGUAAGGUAACGGCUUACCAAGGCAACGAUGCGUAGCCGACCUGAGAGGGUGAUCGGCCACCCUGGAACUGGGACACGGUCCAGACCCCUACGGGAGGCAGCAGUAGGGAAUCUUCCGCAAUGGGCGAAAGCCUGACGGAGCAACGCCGCGUGAGUGAUGAAGGUCUUCGGAUCGUAAAACUCUGUUAUUAGGGAAAAACAAAUGUGUAAGUAACUAUGCACGUCUUGACGGUACCUAAUCAGAAAGCCACGGCUAACUACGUG
rnacentral:rRNA from 1 species